rnacentral:rRNA from 1 species
CACUCCUGCGGGAGGCAGCAGUAGGGAAUCUUCCACAAUGGGUGCAAACCUGAUGGAGCAAUGCCGCGUGAGUGAAGAAGGUCUUCGGAUCGUAAAGCUCUGUUGUUAGAGAAGAACACGUGCUAGGUAACUACUAGCGCCUUGACGGUAUCUAACCAGAAAGUCACGGCUAACUACGUGCCAGCAGCCGCGGUAAUACGUAGGUGACAAGCGUUGUCCGGAUUUAUUGGGCGUAAAGGGAGCGCAGGCGGUCUGUUUAGUCUAAUGUGAAAGCCCACGGCUUAACCGUGGAACGGCAUUGGAAACUGACAGACUUGAAUGUAGAAGAGGAAAAUGGAAUUCCAAGUGUAGCGGUGGAAUGCGUAGAUAUUUGGAGGAACACCAGUGGCGAAGGCGAUUUUCUGGUCUAACAUUGACGCUGAGGCUCGAAAGCGUGGGGAGCGAACAGGAUUAGAAACCCUUGUAGUCCCAUGAU